GUGAUCUGUUUUCCUUUAUUUCCUUCGUUCUUCUUCUGGUUUUUGACUCCUUCUCUUCCAUUUUUGGUCAUCACCAACGAGAGUACUGUCACCUUUUCUUCCAUCCGCCGUUGACAGGUGUUGGGGAUUUGUUUAUAGCUGCUGAACGUUGACAGAAAUCCUUUCGUUCUUCUCUGUUUCAAGUUCACUGUGUAUGUCUUGUGAGGAGUGCGUUGGGUCUCAUUCGUCAUCCGCUGGGCGUAGCACAUUCGACCUCCUCUUCUCUCUUCUUUGUUCAUGUUUUUUUAAUGAUAUUAUAGCUGACCCUGCGUCUCAAACCGACCAUUGAGGGUCCUUCUUACUUUUUGGAUAAAGGAAGCACAUGGUGAUUUCUAUUUUUGGUGAAAUCUUAUAUUGUAUUUUGUAAAUUAUAAAUUAGUGCUUCACAUACCUCAUAGUUGGAUCCUAGUUUUAUUUUGUUAUUGUGAGAAUUGCUGGAAUGGAGCUAGUCUCCUUGUUGGUCUGA